CCUACGGGGGGCUGCAGUCGAGAAUCAUUCACAAUGGGGGAAACCCUGAUGCUGCGACGCCGCGUGGGGGAAUGAAGGUCUUCUGAUUGUAAACCCCUGUCAUGUGGGAGCAAAUUAAAAAGAUAGUACCACAAGAGGAAGAUACGGCAAACUCUGUGCCAGCAGCCGCGGUAAUACGGAGGUCUAAGGCGUUGUUCGUGAUACCUGGACGUAAGGCGUGCGUAGGCUGUUUCGUAAGUCGUGUGUGAAGGCGCGGGCUCAACCCGCGGACGGCACAUGAUACUGCAAGACUAGAGUACUGGAGGGGGAAGUGGAAUUCUCGGUGUAGCAGUGAAAUGCGUAGAUAUCGAGAGGAACACUCGUGGCGAAGGCGGGUUCCUGGACAUUAACUGACGCUGAGGCACGAAGGCCAGGGGAGCGAAAGGGAUUAGAUACCCCAGUAGUC
rnacentral:rRNA from 1 species